rnacentral:rRNA from 1 species
CCUACGGGGGGCUGCAGUAGGGAAUCUUCCACAAUGGGCGAAAGCCUGAUGGAGCAACGCCGCGUGGGUGAAGAAGGUCUUCGGAUCGUAAAACCCUGUUGUUAGAGAAGAAAGUGCGUGAGAGUAACUGUUCACGUUUCGACGGUAUCUAACCAGAAAGCCACGGCUAACUACGUGCCAGCAGCCGCGGUAAUACGUAGGUGGCAAGCGUUAUCCGGAUUUAUUGGGCGUAAAGAGUUCGUAGGCGGUAUGUUAAGUCUGGUGUUAAAUGCAGAAGCUCAACUUCUGUUCGGCACUGGAUACUGGCAAACUAGAAUGCGGUAGAGGUAAAGGGAAUUCCUGGUGUAGCGGUGAAAUGCUUAGAUAUCAGGAGGAACAUCGGUGGCGUAAGCGCUUUACUGGGCCGUAAUUGACGCUGAGGAACGAAAGCCAGGGUAGCAAAUGGGAUUAGAUACCCUUGUAGUC